rnacentral:rRNA from 1 species
AUUGAACGCUGGCGGCAGGCUUAACACAUGCAAGUCGAGCGGAGAUGAGGUGCUUGCACCUUAUCUUAGCGGCGGACGGGUGAGUAAUGCUUAGGAAUCUGCCUAUUAGUGGGGGACAACAUUCCGAAAGGAAUGCUAAUACCGCAUACGCCCUACGGGGGAAAGCAGGGGAUCUUCGGACCUUGCGCUAAUAGAUGAGCCUAAGUCGGAUUAGUUAGUUGGUGGGGUAAAGGCCUGCCAAGGCGACGAUCUGUAGCGGGUCUGAGAGGAUGAUCCGCAACACUGGGACUGAGACACGGCCCAGAAUCAUACGGGAGGCAGCAGUGGGGAAUAUUGGACAAUGGGCGGAAGCCUGAUCCAGCCAUGACGCGUGUGUGAAGAAGGCCUUUUGGUUGUAAAGCACUUUAAGCGAGGAGGAGGCUACCUGGAUUAAUACUCUAGGAUAGUGGACGUUACUCGCAGAAUAAGCACCGGCUAACUCUGUGCCAGCAGCCGCCGCAGUA